UUCUAUGCCGGGCAUUAGUUUCAUUCUCGCGUGCCCGGCGGCCAAGAGAAAUCGUGGAAUUCCGUCUGUCUGUUAUCACUGGGGGGAAGAAUUGUUCAAUUCGGUGGCAGCCAUUUUGGAUUGCGGGACAACGCCAGUUCGGAAGGAGGCGGCGCUGCUGGCCAUCAUCAUCUUCAGUUGUGGGGUCUGUGAAGAACGGGAAAGACGCUGGUCGAGGAAGAGAGAUUUAGGAAAAAGAGAAGGGGAAACUAUUUUGAAGUUUCUGAGGUCCUUCGAGAUCGUCUGUCACUUGUGAUUCUGCUCUAGACCUCUGCCAAGAUGAUCAAAUAUCUCUUCUUGCUGCUUGCUUGCCUGACGGGAGGCACUCUGGCAGCAACUGGUGAUAUUGACACGCAAACACAGCUGUAUAUCGUGGCUGGAAUAUUAGGAGGUGCGUGCUUGCUCCUUACCAUAGCCUCCAUCUACAAUUCAGUCACCAUCAUCGGCCUCCAGUCGAAGAUAGCUGUACUGCAAGCGGCAGGGGCAGCCACAGUGAAAGCAGUGUCCAACGUCGUCGAGAAUUCUCCCAGGACGCCGAAAAAAUUCCCAGACCACGAGGCCCCUCACACAUCAGGAGAUAGAGAUCCUUACUCAAGAGACGACCCCUACCGAAGACAAGACUCCAGGGGCUACAGGAUGGAGAGACCUGGAGUAUAAAGGGACACUGAUGGGUCAUCUCUCAUGACCUGGCCAAGCCCCCAAUAACAAAUUUAUCUUUCAAUGCAACCCUCAAGAGGCUACCAAGAUGACAGAAGACCUCCUUCAGGUUAUUAUUAAGCCCCUCCUCGCAUUGGCGACGUUGGCAAUCAACAUUCACUUAGAAAAUUUUAGACAAUGUAUGAAAAUGCACUCUUCUUCAUUUACGUCAGCCUCUGUGAAUUCUUAUGAUAUAUAAGUGUUUUUUUUUACUAUGUCAUGGUUCAUUUCAGUAGUUAACAUUACAUGCAACUGUUUUAAAUACUAUUUUGUUAAGUCAUCUGGAUUACACAGCAUCAGAAAUUCCAGUUUAAACAAAAAAAUUCUGAGUUCCAGAAUAACAGCAAAGAAGUACCUCUUAUGUUCAGACACAGCACAGUACAUAGUUCAUUAUGACGCUACUUUAACUUCCAUCACACAGGAUGGCUGUGUGAAUUCAACAAGAACUAAACUGAGAAAGAAAAUGCCAUCACUUCACUGCUUCUAAAUUGACACUUGAUAGGGUACUGGUCACAAAGAGAGACGCCCAUGGUACAGUUUUAGAUUACUUACAAGAUUUAUUUUCCUUUAAAUAGUCAGUAUUGUUUAUAAUCCUCUGAAAUCCAUCAUCACUGGAAGCAGAUAGUAACUAGCAGUAAUGUUAUCUGGUUUACAAAUAGUAAAUUUUUCUUUUAAUAUCUUAUUAUAUCUGUAUUGCCAUUAUACCCAGUUCAAACCUAACUUCCUUAAUAAUCUUAGAAUAAAAAUGCUAUGGUAAUGCUGACUUCUGGAGACUAGUAUUAAAUGGUGUUACAGAUACUUUAUUGUGAAAUACUAUGAGUAAAAACAAAAACGAUCACAUGUUAAUACAUGAAACAAACUUAGCCCUCUUUUGAGUGUCAGGAGCUUCCAAGAAAUAUCGUAAUUUUUGGUUUUAUGUAUUUAGUACAGAUCAUUUUGGGACUACAGUUCUUGUUAUGUUGUGGUUGUAAUUUGCAAAACUUAAUUUUAGUGUGUUUAAGAAUGGUAAGUACUCAAGUUAUAUUGUAAUCACAAAAUAAAUCCUCUCCAAAG